rnacentral:rRNA from 1 species
CGGGGUGCCCAGGCGCGAAAACUUUACAAUGCCGGCAACGGCGAUAAGGGAACCUCGAGUGCCAGGUUACAAAUCUGGCUGUCGUGAUGCCUAAAAAGCAUUGCAUAGCAAGGGCCGGGCAAGACCGGUGCCAGCCGCCGCGGUAACACCGGCGGCUCGAGUGGUAACCGUUAUUAUUGGGUCUAAAGGGUCUGUAGCCGGCCGGGUAAGUCUCUUGGGAAAUCUGGCAGCUUAACUGUCAGGCUUUCAGGAGAUACUGCCUGGCUCGAGGCCGGGAGAGGUGAGAGGUACUUCAGGGGUAGGGGUGAAAUCUUGUAAUCCUUGAAGGACCACCAGUGGCGAAGGCGUCUCACCAGAACGGACCUGACGGCAAGGGACGAAAGCUAGGGGCACGAACCGGAUUAGAUACCCGGGUAGUCCUAGCCGUAAACGAUACUCGCUAGGUGUCGGCCACGGUGCGACCGUGGUCGGUGCCGUAGGGAAGCCGUGAAGCGAGCCACCUGGGAAGUACGGCCGCAAGGCUGAAACUUAAAGGAAUUGGCGGGGGAGCAC